GCCUGGGUGGCUCAGUUGGUUGAGCAUCCGACUUUGGCUUGGGUCAUGAUCUCACAGUCUGUGGGUUCCAGCUCCAUAUCAGGCU
rnacentral:tRNA from 1 species